AUCAUAAAAGGUGGCUUUCAGCUACCACUUACAGAUGGACCCGCGGCGCAUUAGCUAGUUGGUGAGGUAAACGGCUCACCAAGGCGACGAUGCGUAGCCGACCUGAGAGGGUGAUCGGCCACACUGGGACUGAGACACGGCCCAGACUCCUACGGGAGGCAGCAGUAGGGAAUCUUCCGCAAUGGACGAAAGUCUGACGGAGCAACGCCGCGUGAGUGAUGAAGGUUUUCGGAUCGUAAAACUCUGUUGUUAGGGAAGAACAAGUACCGUUCGAAUAGGGCGGCACCUUGACGGUACCUAACCAGAAAGCCACGGCUAACUACGUGCCAGCAGCCGCGGUAAUACGUAGGUGGCAAGCGUUGUCCGGAAUUAUUGGGCGUAAAGCGCGCGCAGGCGGUUUCUUAAGUCUGAUGUGAAAGCCCCCGGCUCAACCGGGGAGGGUCAUUGGAAACUGGGGAACUUGAGUGCAGAAGAGGAGAGUGGAAUUCCACGUGUAGCGGUGAAAUGCGUAGAGAUGUGGAGGAACACCAGUGGCGAAGGCGACUCUCUGGUCU
rnacentral:rRNA from 1 species